rnacentral:tRNA from 1 species
GGUCGCGUGGCGCAACGGAUAGCGCAUUGGGCUUCGGACCCAAAGGUUGUGGGUUCGAGUCCCACCGCGUCCG